GACGAACGCUGGCGGCGUGCUUAACACAUGCAAGUCGAACGAAGAGCGAUGGAAGCUUGCUUCUAUCAAUCUUAGUGGCGAACGGGUGAGUAACGCGUAAUCAACCUGCCCUUCAGAGGGGGACAACAGUUGGAAACGACUGCUAAUACCGCAUACGAUCUAACCUCGGCAUCGAGGAUAGAUGAAAGGUGGCCUCUACAUGUAAGCUAUCACUGAAGGAGGGGAUUGCGUCUGAUUAGCUAGUUGGAGGGGUAACGGCCCACCAAGGCGAUGAUCAGUAGCCGGUCUGAGAGGAUGAACGGCCACAUUGGGACUGAGACACGGCCCAGACUCCUACGGGAGGCAGCAGUGGGGAAUCUUCCGCAAUGGACGGAAGUCUGACGGAGCAACGCCGCGUGAGUGAUGACGGCCUUCGGGUUGUAAAGCUCUGUUAAUCGGGACGAAAGGCCUUCUUGCGAAUAGUGAGAAGGAUUGACGGUACCGGAAUAGAAAGCCACGGCUAACUACGUG
rnacentral:rRNA from 1 species